UCUUUUUGUCUCAUUGUCAUCCCUUUAAUUACAAGUUUUUAUGUCUUCCUCUUCACUUCUAUUCACAGAUUCAUUAAACCGACGAUAAAGUUUUGAGUCUUUGACCUUCACUAAUCUUUCUCUCACACUCUCAUAAUUCGAUCAGCCACGAUGGUCUGUGGAAGGGACGCUUCGGAGAUGGAAUAGGAGGUUGCCCAAGCUGCAAAGAAGACGGGACGCCUUGCCGAAACACAUGGCAGCACUAAGGAGGAUACGAAAAAAUUUGCCGACAAACGUUUAAGAAUGUUCUCGAACAACAUCUUUAAAACUCUUUUCAAUGUUACCUGUCAACCUCAGUGACUGAUUCGCUAUUUAGUGACAUGAUUCACAAUCACCGGGAAGAGAAUUGCUGGUGAAACAAAAAAAACUUCAAGCUUUAACCAGUCUCUGAUUUUGUUAGGGAUCAAACCUGUGAGUUUCACAGAUGUUAAGAGUGAAGUAAUAAACUUUAGCUUCUGGGGAUGAAUUUUCAGUAACAGAGCUUGAAAUUCCAUGACAUGUAGUUGUAUCUCCGAGAAUUGGCUCGCAUUGCAUCAUUGUCAAGGAUUUGUCUCUACGAUGUUCCUGAAAGGUAAAGCCUCUCUGGAGAUGUUUACCUGAGGUUUCCAUGAGAGGAGAGCCUGACCUUCUUUUUUUAUAUGGAGAAACAUGGGAUGGAAACAAAGCAGAGGAGUUUAGGAAAGGAGGAAGAAGAAAGAACCAAAAAAUGUGUGUUAUGUGGGUAUCUUCCUAUGAGUCAUGAGUCUCUUACACAUGUUUUUUAAAUGAAAUUGUGAAUUGGUCAUAUUCAGUCUUCUCAUUGUUGUUAAGGUUAUAUGUAUCAGGUCUGCAAUUCAUGUUAUCUAAUAUAUGAUGAAAUUGGUAUUAAAACUGCAAAGUUUUACAUGCAAUUUGUUUAACCGCACAUGUGUUAAUAUCCUCUCAAGUCGAAGCUUCUAGCUGUUAGUUCAACUUCAAGUGUUACAUUAUCUUUUCCACUAGCAACGUUCUUUGGCACCAGUGAGACUUGGGAAGAGAUAAUGUGCCGUGUUUGGGAAUAUAUAUAUAAAAUAAACUCAACAAUAUAGAGGUGUAUAUUGAGAUACUCUGGUUUUACUUUAUUUUCUGGGAUUGGAUUUGACAUUUUUUGUAUGUUUAGAGGUUUUUGAAUGGCUAUAAACAAAAAAAAAAAAACUAAACACCUUUGUUCUACUUCUCAAUAUGAUUACAGGACCCGACAAAUCCAAUGGCUAUUCAGUGUGAUGAGAAGCACCGUCAUCCUCUUGGGUGUGAAAGCAUUCAGCUGUGGGGAUAAAUGAGAUGCUAAUGCGCCAAAUGUACAAGCAGUCAUGUGAUCAAUAAUUAUUUUAAAGUCAUUUAUCCAACUCUCUCAGAUUAUGAUGUUCGAUAUUAUUAUCUCUCAACUUCUAAAGGUAAGCGACCAGUUUCUUUUUGAAUCCUAGACUGCGCAUUCUCCAGGUUUGUAUUACUCUCCUUCAUAUAUAAUAUUUUAUUGCUAGGGGAGGUCUCUAAACAUGAUCGUACAUGUUACUGAUUUAGUAAAUA